rnacentral:lncRNA from 1 species
CAUGAGGGUACACACACAGAGAUAACACAUAGCUCUGCACUCACACACAAUAUAAUCUCAAAUCUGAGUCUGACACAACGUAAAGGUGCAAAGAUUCCUGAAGAGCAGAAGACUUAAGAAAGUGAAGUAAGAAAGAUACCAAACUUCACAUUCAUCUAUUGCAAAACACUAGAGAGGGUGACAACAGAGUUUAAGGCAGAUUUCCUCUUCCUCUCACCCUCCUGACCUUCCUCCAUCAUGACUGCCACACAGUCAGUCAUGCUCCUGGCAGCAGUGGUCGUCUCCCUGCCAGGUCUCAUACACGCUUUUCAACCACUUUUCUCAUUUGAUGGAAAUUCAACCACUCACCGUGACAUCACACGAAUGGCCGUCCUCCGAAAGACGGCAGAGGUCUGCCGAGAUAUCGCUGCCUCUGAGGGACGGGACUUCAGCCUGACUAUUGAUAAUAGCUUGUCACCUGACAAGGUCCAAAGAGCCUGUUUGUCUUCAGGGAACUCCACAUCUCUCCUCUCCACUGUGUUGUUCCAAACCUCCAUUGCCAACAUGUACCUGAGCAAUGCAAAUGUGGACGUGGUGUAUUCACUGAGUGAGGAGCACCACUUUGAUGAUGAGACCUUCCAGGGAGGACGGGAUGUCAUCACAGCAGGUGGGCUUUCAGUGUUGAUGAGAAAUAUACGUAGUGUCUAUAGAUAGAGACUGCAUGGUGAAAGAAACACUACAAAACAAGCAGAGGAACAGAGCAGUGUGG